rnacentral:SRP_RNA from 1 species
GCAGCCGGGGCAUUAGCGGGGCCCUGUAACCUGCAGUCCGCUACAGCAGGGGUGAUGCCGUAUCCGAGGGUGUGUUCUGAUGGAGCCGCCCCCGUCAAGUGGCGUUGACGUUCGGGUCUUGCGCAACAGGAAUCCAUGAACCGUGUCAGGGUGGGAACACAGCAGCACUAAGUGGAAGCUCCCGUGUGUCGCAAGGGUGCCUGGGCCGAGUUAACUGGCGGGGUAACGUCUGUUGGCGCUCAUUCAGAGUGAGGCGCACG